CCCAUUUCUACUAUUUGUUUUCUCUCUCUAGACAGAGCUAUUUUCUUUCUAAGAAAUCUGCUCUGCCUUCUCUCUAAGAAAACCAUUCACUGACCUGAUAAAAAUUUUAACUGAAGGUACUACAGCGUUCCUUGCACCAAAUCUUCAUUUUGAACCGAACAGUUUCUUUGUUCGUCUCGGUUCUGUGUAAGUUCAGCGCGAUGUGGGUACGGUCCUAGGGCGUUCUUGACCUGUACUGUUAAGCUUUCCAGGUUACAACCGUUCGGUGUCGCGAGAAAGAUUGACAGUAAACAUUGGAAGAUCGAUCGGAGGAGGAAAGGAAAGGGGGUUGCAUCCCUAUGUUAGCUUCAUGGAAUAA